rnacentral:rRNA from 1 species
GAUGAACGCUGGCGGCGUGCCUAACACAUGCAAGUCGAGCGAGGACUUCGGUCCUAGCGGCGGACGGGUGAGUAACGCGUGGGUAAUCUGCCUCAUACACACGGAUAACGUACCGAAAGGUACGCUAAUACGAGAUAAUAUUAAGGAAUGGCAUCAUUUCUUAAUCAAAGAAUUUCGGUAUGAGAUGAGCCCGCGUCCCAUUAGCUAGUUGGUAAGGUAAAAGCUUACCAAGGCGACGAUGGGUAGCCGACCUGAGAGGGUGAUCGGCCACACUGGAACUGAGACACGGUCCAGACUCCUACGGGAGGCAGCAGUGGGGAAUAUUGCACAAUGGGCGAAAGCCUGAUGCAGCAACGCCGCGUGAGCGAUGAAGGUCUUCGGAUCGUAAAGCUCUGUCCUCAAGGAAGAAUUUUGACGGUACUUGAGGAGGAAGCCCCGGCUAACUACGUGCCAGCCGCCGCAGUAACAC